rnacentral:rRNA from 1 species
GUUUGAUCCUGGCUCAGAACGAACGCUGGCGGCAGGCCUAACACAUGCAAGUCGAGCGCCCCGCAAGGGGAGCGGCGGACGGGUGAGUAACACGUGGGAAUUUUCCUCAAGGUACGGAACAACUCAGGGAAACUUGGGCUAAUACCGUAUGAUGCAGAGAUGCCAAAGAUUUAUCGCCUUGGGAUAAGCCCGCGUCAGAUUAGGUAGUUGGUGGGGUAAUGGCCUACCAAGCCUGUGAUCUGUAGCUGGUCUGAGAGGACGAUCAGCCACAUUGGGACUGAGACACGGCCCAAACUCCUACGGGAGGCAGCAGUGGGGAAUCUUGCGCAAUGGACGAAAGUCUGACGCAGCCAUGCCGCGUGAAUGAUGAAGGUCUUAGGAUUGUAAAGUUCUUUAGCCUGUGACGAUGAUGACGGUAACAGGAGAAUAAGCCCCGGCUAACUUCGUG